UUGUAAAGCGGCGAACGGGUGAGGAAUACAUGGGUAAUCUACCAUCGAGUGGGGAAUAACCAGCCGAAAGGUUGGCUAAUACCGCGUACGCUUCCGGGUCUUCGGAUUCGGAAGGAAAGCCGCGCUGUGAGUGCGGCGCUCUUUGAUGAGCUCAUGUCCUAUCAGCUUGUUGGUAGGGUAACGGCCUACCAAGGCUUUGACGGGUAGCUGGUCUGAGAGGACGAUCAGCCACACUGGCACUGCGACACGGGCCAGACUCCUACGGGAGGCAGCAGUAAGGAAUAUUGCGCAAUGGGCGAAAGCCUGACGCAGCGACGCCGCGUGGGGGAUGAAGGUCUUCGGAUUGUAAACCCCUUUCGGGAGGGAAGAUGGAGCGAGCAAUCGUUCGGACGGUACCUCCAGAAGCAGCCACGGCCAACUUCGUGCCAGCAGCCGCGGUAAUACGAAGGUGGCAAGCGUUGUUCGGAUUCACUGGGCGUACAGGGUGUGUAGGCGGUUUGGUAAGCCUUCUGUUAAAGCUUCGGGCCCAACCCGGAAAGCGCAGAGGGUACUGCCAGGCUAGAGGGUGGGAGAGGAGCGCGGAAUUCCCGGUGUAGCGGUGAAAUGCGUAGAGAUCGGGAGGAAGGCCGGUGGCGAAGGCGGCGCUCUGGAACAUACCUGACGCUGAGACACGAAAGCGUGGGGAGCAAACAGGAUUAGAUACCCUGGUAGUCCACGCCCUAAACUAUGGAUACUAAGUGUCGGCGGGUUACCGCCGGUGCCGCAGCUAACGCAUUAAGUAUCCCGCCUGGGGAAGUACGGCCGCAAGGUUGAAACUCAAAGGAAUUGACGGGGGGCCCGCACAAGCGGGGGGAGCAUGGGGGUUUAAUUCCGACGCAACGCCGAAGAACCUUUACCCAGGGUUGGACAUGGCCCGUAAGUAGAAAGGGGU
rnacentral:rRNA from 1 species